CGGCCAGACAGCCAUGGGAGAGAGCUUUUAAGCUGGUUUUGCACAAUUUCACUGCAUAUCAAGAAUCCAAAGAAGAAGUUGCGGAAUAGUCCCUAAAUUUCAAUAUCUUCUACAAAUCAGCCAGUUUUGACAAGCCAGCUCGGAAAUCAGAAUCGGUCGGAGGCUUGCUCACACUAU